rnacentral:rRNA from 1 species
GAUGAACGCUAGCUACAGGCUUAACACAUGCAAGUCGAGGGGUAACGAGAGGAGAGCUUGCUUUCCUUGUCGACGACCGGCGCACGGGUGAGUAACGCGUAUCCAACCUGCUCCCAACUAAGGAAUAACCUUGCGAAAGUAAGACUAAUACCUUAUAAUUUCCUCAGAUGUCAUCUGACGAGGAAUAAAGAUUUAUCGGUUGUAGAUGGGGAUGCGUCUGAUUAGCUUGUUGGCGGGGUAACGGCCCACCAAGGCAACGAUCAGUAGGGGUUCUGAGAGGAAGGUCCCCCACAGUGGAACUGAGACACGGUCCAAACUCCUACGGGAGGCAGCAGUGAGGAAUAUUGGUCAAUGGGCGGAAGCCUGAACCAGCCAAGUAGCGUGCAGGAUGACGGCCCUAUGGGUUGUAAACUGCUUUUAUACAGGAAUAAAGUUAGCCACGUGUGGUUAUUUGUAGGUACUGUAUGAAUAAGGACCGGCUAAUUCCGUGCCAGCCGCCGCCGUAA